rnacentral:rRNA from 1 species
AUGACGCGGUCUUGGAUGUCCGCGUCCAGCGCCUCCUUGAGCUCCUUCACGAACCUGUCCACCACCGCCUUUAUCCGCACCGACAUCUUGCCGCGCCUCAACAACCGCCACCACUCCUCCUGGCGCCUCUUGCUACCGGCGGCGGUCACCUGCGGCCUCCACGGACCAUGGCUUCUAGGGCUUGCGAGAGGAGAACGCCGGAAUUCCUCCUGGGCGCGUUUCUUUCCUGUUCUGUUUCGGCUUUGCGUGCUCUUGGGUGAGGCGGAUGAGCUGGGAAAGAGAUACGGCCCAGUGGGCUUCUUUAUGGCCGCUAUUUUGCUCACUUGCCUCUUUCCCUUUCUCCUUUUCUUUUCUUACCUUUUUUUCUCCUUUAUCUUUGUUCUUUUGACUACUGGUAUACAGUACUACCCGCUCACAAAAAAAUUGUAUAUAUUACUACUCUUACUCUUCUUUCACAAGAUACUAAUAUAA